CCUACGGGAGGCAGCAGUGGGGAAUCUUGCACAAUGGAGGAAACUCUGAUGCAGCGAUGCCGCGUGAGUGAAGAAGGCCUUUGGGUUGUAAAGCUCUUUUGUAGGGGAAGAUAAUGACUGUACCCUAAGAAUAAGGUCCGGCUAACUUCGUGCCAGCAGCCGCGGUAAUACGAAGGGACCUAGCGUAGUUCGGAAUUACUGGGCGUAAAGCGCGCGUAGGCCGUUGAGUUAGUUAAUUGUGAAAUCCCAAAGCUUAACUUUGGAACUGCAAUUAAAACUGCUCGACUAGAGUUUGAUAGAGGAAAGCGGAAUACAUAGUGUAGAGGUGAAAUUCGUAGAUAUUAUGUAGAACACCAGUUGCGAAGGCGGCUUUCUGGAUCAACACUGACGCUGAGGCGCGAAAGUAUGGGUAGCAAAGAGGAUUAGAUACCCUCGUAGUCCAUACCAUAAACGAUGAUUGCUAGAUGUUGGAAAUUUAUUUUCAGUAUCGCAGCUAACGCAUUAAGCAAUCCGCCUGGGGAGUACGACCGCAAGGUUAAAACUCAAAGGAAUUGACGG
rnacentral:rRNA from 2 species